rnacentral:rRNA from 1 species
GACGAACGCUGGCGGCGUGCCUAAUACAUGCAAGUAGAACGCACAGUUUAUACCGUAGCUUGCUACACCAUAGACUGUGAGUUGCGAACGGGUGAGUAACGCGUAGGUAACCUACCUGGUAGCGGGGGAUAACUAUUGGAAACGAUAGCUAAUACCGCAUAAUAUUGAUUAUUGCAUGAUAAUUGAUUGAAAGAUGCUAUUGCAUCACUACCAGAUGGACCUGCGUUGUAUUAGCUAGUAGGUGAGGUAACGGCUCACCUAGGCGACGAUACAUAGCCGACCUGAGAGGGUGAUCGGCCACACUGGGACUGAGACACGGCCCAGACUCCUACGGGAGGCAGCAGUAGGGAAUCUUCGGCAAUGGACGAAAGUCUGACCGAGCAACGCCGCGUGAGUGAAGAAGGUUUUCGGAUCGUAAAGCUCUGUUGUAAGAGAAGAACGGGUGUGAGAGUGGAAAGUUCACACUGUGACGGUAUCUUACCAGAAAGGGACGGCUAACUACGUG